rnacentral:misc_RNA from 1 species
GUGAAUCAUCAAAUUUUUGAACGCAAAUUGCACUCUCUUCGGAGAGUAUGCCUGUUUGAGGGUCAGCCUAAAAAAAAUCGACGUAGUCGCUUUCUCCCGGUUACCUUCGUCGGAAAUUGGGUCAUCUUUAACCUUUUGGUUUUUUAGCCGCUUAAAAUUUUCUUUUCGAUUCCACCAACGUUUCUAAGAUUUUACUUCUUUCACCCGUUUUAGGUAUCUAUCUUUUUUUGACGUUGCCGUUGCAUCGGA